AAAAUCAAAGAAGUAAAUUACCUUUUACCAGUUACUAGGUAGAUUAACACAGGUAAAGUACUCAACAACAAGAAGAAUAUUACCAGUUACUGGGUAAUAAAGUCUUGGGAGACCAAAAGAUCUAUCUAGGUAUGAACUAGAAAGAAACAGUCAAAUAAGACUCAACCCAAUGAGGGUAUAGCUCAAGGGCAGUGGUUCCAUCUAGAUAAUGAACUGGGGAGGAAACUGAAAUAAUAAUCGUC
rnacentral:lncRNA from 1 species